AUUAGAAGCUGUUGCCCCCAUCAAAUUGAAAAAGGUUAGAGAAAAACGUACUGCGCCAUGGUACAACAGUAAUACCCAUUCUCUCAAGAA